CCCGUGGACUUUCCACCCUCACCGUCCUCCUCCUCUCUUCCCCCCCUUCGUCUGCCGCACUUUCUUUAACCUGCUCUUUCUAUUUCACGCUCUGUCACCCCCCCGAAUCCCACCCCACACUCUCACUUCUGGCCUUCUCUCUUAUCUCCACCCGACUACUCCGCCGGAUGUCUUUCACGUGGCGUCAGCCGAGCCGUGCACAUCCCACCACUUUUCAACCGCUACACACAUCGCACAUCGCACACGUUGGCCUCCCAGCCCACCACACCUCCUCCCCCCGGGGUGAGUUACAUGAAAGCAGAUACCCUCACAUGCGUCUCCAAGCCGAUCCUGUCAGCAUGUCACGGAUCGGCCACCCGCCGAGUUUCAAUCGCUGCUCUCUGGCGCGGAGACGUGUAGAUUACAUCAGCGCCGUGACUUCCAGCCGACACGCGGCAUCGACGGGGCGGGUGAAACGUGGGAGCUUACGGGGAAGAAAAGAGGAAAGUCUGUUAGAAAAGGUCCGUCUGAACUUUCUAGUUGGAAAGUCUCAUCAAAGAAGCAGAUUUGGGGAAAAGCUGAAAGCGACUAAAGCGUUGGUACAUUUAACGCAGACUGUAAGGCCUCGCCCCCCCCGACGUCCAUGACCACGUGACUUGCAGAUCAGUGGAUUUCUCUGACAUCGGAGCAAUGGAAUACGCAUGUUGCAUAAGUUGUUGCGGCGUGGAGCAGUGGGAACAGGGUCAGAUCAGAUAAGAUAAGGUGGAAUAAAUGUAUCUGCAGCAGCGAGGACUCUGCACUCUGUAGGAGGGAGGAAGCCGUCAGAUCACCACUUGCAGGACUGUUGGUGGAUUUGUUUACUUGCAACGCUGUUGACCUGUGAACCCUGGUUGAGUGGCUACUUCAUCGGACCUUGAGUCCAAACGACUUGGGAGAACUUUGCUCUCUGAAGCCGUGCUGGUUGUUUGCAUUGGUGCUUUGAAGCAAGGAGAAAUGUUUCUUCAGGAAUGUUCUCAGUAUGUGAAUACAGCUUAUUCUGCCAACCUUGUAUCACUGUUUUAUGCUGCAAACAUGUUGGUAAGAAUAGCGACUGUUCUGGGAUCCGGCUCCACGCUGGUGCCUUUGGUUAUCAUGGAGAUCAGGAGCAGACCAGUGCAGUGUCCAUUACCCUCAGAAAGCGCAGCCGACAGCUUGCUCUGGAACCAUAUUGCGCGUUGACUCGAGGGAAGCGGAGUUACCUGAAUAUGACCAGCAGCGAUAGUGAAUGCUGUAAGAAGCCCUGAGGCCCCGCCCCCUGCUUCUGCUCCCAGCGCCGCGUUUAAAGUUUAUUAUUGUUGAACGCGUCCUAAUUGCACCAGCUUUGAGCUCCUCGGGGGGCAUCUGCACACCAGCCAACUGGGAAGUGCACCGGCUGAACGAUUAAAGAGGUAUGUGAAGGACACACAUGCACACACGCAGACACGCAGACAUGCACACAUGCACACAUGCACACAUGCACACAUGCACACAUGCACACAUGCACACAUGCACACAUGCACACAUGCAGACAUGCAGAGAUUCCUUGGUUCAUAGUGAGCAGACAGUUUGCUUGACAUUUAACUAGAGACUCACGCUGCCUCCUGGGUCGUGUUGCAGACGUUCCCACUCAAAAGAUCUUGGAGGAACAGUGUGUUGGAUUUGGGGGAUUUAUUGGCAGAAAGGGGAUAUAACAUUAACAACGAUUCAUUAGUGAACCUGAAACUAAGAAUCACUGUUCUCAUCUGCUUAGAUGAGCAGUUAUCUACAUAUGGAGCUCAAGGUACUAAAUCCGCCAUGUUUCUACAGCAACCCAGAAGGACCAAGCACCGGCUCUAAAUAGUCCCUUUGAGACGUCUUCCUUACCCGAAGGUCCACGUGGUUCUCCCACAUGCUUGGAAAGACAAGAGUUUAAGUUUAAUAGGUUGGAUGCAAUUUGGGGAGAAAGUCUGGCCUGAAGGUGCAUGUUCCUCUUAAAGAUGUCCAAGCCCUGAGUGUGUAGCCCUAACAUGGACUGCGUGCGUCUCUGCGGUUGAGUCAGCGGCCUUCACACAUCGGGAUGCUGGCAUCACUGGCCGAUGUACUCGUGUGCUUUCACAUUCCUCCCUCGGCCCGGCGGUAAAGUCAGGACAGGCACGACGUUUUCCAAGUGUAGAAAAAUAUGAGAUAAUGUGUCAUUUCGCCUUAAGGGGUCAAGAGGGAUUUGCUAAACAAAGGCUCAUUAUUCAGAACAAACUGCUGCUCUCGUUUAGUAAACCCAGUGGAAUAAAGCUGCAGAAGUAAAGCAGUGAGCUGCCAGAAGAGAAAAAAAACAUUCGAUGGCAAAUGAUUCCAUGUCCUCACAUGCUGAGUAGCUUUAAAUAAAGGUACAUACAUUAGUAUCCGUUGUUGUUUCCACAGCAAAAGGAAAAAAACAUUUUCAAAGCACUUUCAUCCAAAGGAAGUAAAGCGAUGGAUUAUUAUGGAUCCCGUUUUCCCUGAUUUAAUAUGUUGGACUUUGCUUAUUUCCCCUCCAUGCUCGUUUUACAUGUCAAGGAGCAAAACAAGAGCCAAGCAUUCAGAGGGACGUCUCAGAAGCAGAGAAGGCCGCAGUGAGUGAAUCACAGUAUGUGAUCCUCGGUGUCCGUGUCAGAGCGAGAGAUUGAGCGAUGGAGUGCAACAUAUAGCAGAGAGUCUGGGGCCAACAGGCUCCUUCUUGGAGACGUGCAUCUUGGCCGUCUCACAACCGUCCAGCCUGUCGGAGGAUGCCAGCGCGUGACAGCAGGCGUGCUGACAAGCUCUAAUCGAGAACAGACCUUGAAUUUGGACACCAGCUUGGAGAGAAAACCAGCAUCUUGUCAUCCUCCAAGCUGUGAGAUGAUGUCUAUUUAGGACCGAAUAAGGAAAUGAUGCUGCGCUGCUGAGAGAUUCUUCACUGCGACUUCAUUAGGACAACAACAACAACUCUGAUGUGCACGUUGCAAAGAUGUAUAUGAUCAUCUGCUUGCUCUCCCAUCGGUAUUUCAUCCUAAAUCAAAGUAUUGGACUGAAGUAAAUUGCCUGAACUGA